UACAGAGGGGGCAAGCGUUAUUCGGAAUUAUUGGGCGUAAAGGGCGCGUAGGCGGCUUUUCAAGUGACGGGUGAAAGCCCUCGGCUUAACCGAGGAACUGCCUGUCAGACUGGAAGGCUUGAGACCGGGAGAGGUGAGUGGAAUUCCCAGUGUAGCGGUGAAAUGCGUAGAUAUUGGGAGGAACACCGGUGGCGAAGGCGGCUACCUGGACAGAAACUGACGCUGAGGCGCGAAAGCUAGGGGAGCAAACAGG
rnacentral:rRNA from 1 species